rnacentral:rRNA from 1 species
GACGAACCGUGCGAACGUUAUUCGGAAUCACUGGGCUUAAAGCGCGUGUAGGCGGGCCAUCACGUCGGUCGCUGAAAGCCCCCGGCUCAACCGGGGAACCGGCGCCGAUACGAGUGGCCUGGAGGGGGUAGGGGACCUGGAACUUCCGGUGGAGCGGUGAAAUGCGUUGAGAUCGGAAGGAACGCCCGUGGCGAAAGCGAGGUCCUGG